GAUGAACGCUGGCGGCGUGCUUAACACAUGCAAGUCGAACGAAACACCUUAUUUGAUUUUCUUCGGAACUGAAGAUUUGGUGAUUGAGUGGCGGACGGGUGAGUAACGCGUGGGUAACCUGCCCUGUACAGGGGGAUAACAGUCAGAAAUGACUGCUAAUACCGCAUAAGACCACAGCACCGCAUGGUGCAGGGGUAAAAACUCCGGUGGUACAGGAUGGACCCGCGUCUGAUUAGCUGGUUGGUGAGGUAACGGCUCACCAAGGCGACGAUCAGUAGCCGGCUUGAGAGAGUGAACGGCCACAUUGGGACUGAGACACGGCCCAAACUCCUACGGGAGGCAGCAGUGGGGAAUAUUGCACAAUGGGGGAAACCCUGAUGCAGCGACGCCGCGUGAGUGAAGAAGUAUUUCGGUAUGUAAAGCCCUAUCAGCAGGGAAGAAAAUGACGGUACCUGACGAAGAAGCCCCGGCUAACUACGUG
rnacentral:rRNA from 1 species